CAAACUGAGCUGUCGAAAGCAUAUAGCCCGGUCGAACCCGGAAUACAUUCAGUUUGCCACCAGAGCUCGACUGGGGCACAACUCCCUUUCCGGAAUAAAGAGUGAAAAUUUUAAGUAUAACAACUGACUUUUAUCGGUACACACUUUCCACCCAUUUCCAUUGCUUUUCUUCUUGGUCGUAAGCAAAGAAAUUUUGUGAAAUGAAUUUUUUAAAAUUUGGAACGAUAGGUCGAUCAAGACCUUUUUCGUACCCAUUACUACCCAAUUAAUCUCAAUUGCAUUCUCAACUGGUCACUUUUGUUUGGACUUUUGUUUGAAGUAAAUUCUAUGUGCGCAUUUAACUGUCGAUGAUACACAAGGGACGUUCGCCAGACCCGAUUUAUAAUACUCAACAUUUAUAGAUUUUCUCCUUCAGAGAAAUUAGAUUACAAUAGACAUUACACAACACUGAACUGAUGGUACCGGUCCCGUUGGACUCGAAGCUCGCGUCAAACUCUACGGCUCUACAAAAUACAUUUCUUCAAGCAUGAUAAAUGAAAUCGGAAAUCAACACACUUUGUUAAAUCCUACACAUUUUUAAUGUCAAAGGGAAAAUCGAAAUGAAUUAAAGCGAAAUAACUAAAAAAGAA